UAAAAGAAAAGCCGCCUCCCUGCCUUUUUCCUCUGAUUUCGCCGAACUCACGCCCCUUCACCCGAUUUCGUCGACCCAGCGCCACGACGAUCUCUUCGUACCCGAGCUCAUAGCGACGAGUGGCUCGCCGAAGCCUCGCAGAAGCUUCCCAGCCUUCUACCCCUCGUCUAGAGGGUCACUAGGGGUUCUGCUCUCCGAGCUUCUGCCUCACGCAAAGAACUCUCGGGCAGGUGAGCAAAUCUGAGCUUGGUGGACACCGGAGACUGAAUCGCCAGUCCCAGAGCUCGACGCUGGUUGAGGAUUCGCAGUCUAGGGAGAUACCUCAUCUUCCCGAACCUAGAGCCAAGCUAAUCUGGCGGGCUUCUCUUCGCCUAUCGUGGAGGGUUCCUGUCCUUGAGUGUCACACCGGGAGGGGCACGACAACAACCUCCAGCAGCUGUUCUUCACCCAGGAAGCAGUAGCUCUAUAGGAGCUUUGAUCUAUGGAGCUGCGACAGCAGGCAGCACUAGUGAGAUUGUGCCGGGGAUCUCACCUUCCGGCAGUGAGUUAUCAGUGGGGGAGACUACUGUAAGGUGUUGUUAGCCAUUGCAGCCCUAGUUGUGCUGUUCGUGGAUGAUCCAUGGCUUCGACCAACCUUCCGAUCUGAAGUCAUCCUUUGAUGGUGAGCUAUCAGCAACCCACUUGCAUUCGGGAUUUGAGAUGGAUGUGAUUUCUUGGACCUGUUGAAGACGGUUGAUACGACCUGCGUAUGAAGGCGGGUACCUCUUGACUUAUCUUUUAUGAUAUUGUCAUUGGAUAUGCAUAGUAUUUUAUAACUACAUGCAAUGAACAUGUUUGCCUUUGGUAUGUCACUGUUUGAUAUCCA